rnacentral:rRNA from 1 species
GGCGGCGUGCCUAAUACAUGCAAGUCGAACGGUCUUUCUAUGGAAGCUUGCUUCCACUGAGAAGAUAGUGGCGAACGGGUGAGUAACAACGUGGGUAACCUGCCCAUAAGAGGGGGAUAACAUCCGGAAACGGGUGCUAAUACCGCAUAGUUUUCUUGAUCGCAUGAUUGAGAAAGGAAAGACGGCCUUUGUGCUGUCGCUUAUGGAUGGACCCGCGGCGUAUUAGUUAGUUGGUGAGGUAACGGCUCACCAAGACGAUGAUACGUAGCCGACCUGAGAGGGUGAUCGGCCACAUUGGGACUGAGACACGGCCCAAACUCCUACGGGAGGCAGCAGUAGGGAAUCUUCCGCAAUGGACGAAAGUCUGACGGAGCAACGCCGCGUGAGUGAAGAAAAGGUUUUCGGAUCGUAAAACUCUGUUGUCAGAGAAGAACAAGUUGGAGAGUAACUGCUCCAGCCUUGACGGUAUCUGACCAGAAAGCCACGGCUAGCUACGUGCCAGCCGCCGC